rnacentral:rRNA from 1 species
CAGUCGCCGCGGGAAUACAGAGGGUGCAAGCGUUAAUCGGAAUUACUGGGCGUAAAGCGCGCGUAGGUGGUUUGUUAAGUUGGAUGUGAAAUCCCCGGGCUCAACCUGGGAACUGCAUCCAAAACUGGCAAGCUAGAGUAUGGUAGAGGGUGGUGGAAUUUCCUGUGUAGCGGUGAAAUGCGUAGAUAUAGGAAGGAACACCAGUGGCGAAGGCGACCACCUGGACUGAUACUGACACUGAGGUGCGAAAGCGUGGGGAGCAAACAGGAUUAGAUACCCCGGUAGUCCCUGUCUCUUAUAC